rnacentral:rRNA from 1 species
UUCCCUACGGGGUGCAGCAGGCGCGAAAACUUUACAAUGCGGGAAACCGUGAUAAGGGGACACCGAGUGCCAGCAACAUUUGUUGGCUGUCCAGGUGUGUAAACUACACCUGUUAGCAAGGGCCGGGCAAGACCGGUGCCAGCCGCCGCGGUAACACCGGCGGCCCGAGUGGUGAUCGUGAUUAUUGGGUCUAAAGGGUCCGUAGCCGGUUUGGUCAGUCCUCCGGGAAAUCUGACGGCUUAACCGUGAGGCUUUCGGGGGAUACUGCCAGGCUUGGAACCGGGAGAGGUAAGAGGUACUACAGGGGUAGGAGUGAAAUCUUGUAAUCCCUGUGGGACCACCUGUGGCGAAGGCGUCUUACCAGAACGGGUUCGACGGUGAGGGACGAAAGCUGGGGGCACGAACCGGAUUAGAUACCCGGGUAGUCCCAGCCGUAAACGAUGCUCGCUAGGUGUCAGGCAUGGCGCGACCGUGUCUGGUGCCGCAGGGAAGCCGUGAAGCGAGCCAUCUGGGAAGUACGGCCGCAAGGCUGAAACUUAAAGGAAUUGGCGGGGGAGCACAACAACGGGUGGAGCCUGCGGUUUAAUUGGACUCAACGCCGGACAACUCACCGGGGGCGACAGCAAUAUGUAGGCCAAGCUGAAGACUUUGCCUGAAUCGCUGAGAGGA